rnacentral:rRNA from 1 species
UACGGAGGGGGCUAGCGUUGUUCGGAAUUACUGGGCGUAAAGCGCACGUAGGCGGCUCUGUAAGUUAGAGGUGAAAGCCCAGGGCUUAACCCUGGAAUUGCCUUUAAGACUGCAUCGCUAGAAUCGUGGAGAGGUGAGUGGAAUUCCGAGUGUAGAGGUGAAAUUCGUAGAUAUUCGGAAGAACACCAGUGGCGAAGGCGACUCACUGGACACGUAUUGACGCUGAGGUGCGAAAGCGUGGGGAGCAAAACGG